CAUUCUUUUUGAAUCUUAGUUCUGAAUCUGAAUAGUCUGUUUACUUAUUCUAUUGUGUGGCCAGGUGUGGGUAAGAGUUGCCUCCUUUUGCGUUUAUCGGAUGGCUCAUUUACUACAAGUUUUAUCACAACCAUUGGGAUUGACUUUAAGAUAAGGACCAUAGAGCUUGACGGGACAAGGAUCAAACUGCAAAUUUGGGAUACUGCUGGGCAAGAGAGGUUCCGAACAAUUACAAGUGCUUACUAUCGUGGAGCCAUGGGUAUCUUGCUUGUGUAUGAUGUGACUGAUGAGUCAUCUUUCAAUAACAUUCGAAACUGGAUUCGAAAUAUUGAACAACAUGCAUCAGACAAUGUCAACAAGGUUCUGGUGGGUAAUAAGGCCGACAUGGAUGAAAGCAAAAGGGCUGUCCCUACUUAAAAAGGCCAAGCUCUUGCUGAUGAAUAUGGCAUCAAGUUCUUUGAGACUAUUGCAAAAACAAACUAAAAUGUCGCUGAGG